GACAGAGGAUGCAAGCGUUAUCCGGAAUCAUUGGGCGUAAAGCGCACGUAGGCGGCUUCGCAAGUCGGAUGUGAAAUCCCUCGGCUCAACCGAGGACGUGCAUACGAAACUGCGGAGCUUGAGUGCUGAAGAGGAUCGCGGAAUUCCCGGUGUAGAGGUGAAAUUCGUAGAUAUCAGGAGGAACACCGGUGGCGAAGGCGGGUCUCUGGGCAACAACUGACGCUGAGGAGCGAAAGCGUGGGGGAGCGAACAGG
rnacentral:rRNA from 1 species